rnacentral:rRNA from 1 species
GCCUACGGGAGGCAGCAGUGGGGAAUAUUGGGCAAUGGGCGCAAGCCUGACCCAGCAACGCCGCGUGAAGGAAGAAGGCUUUCGGGUUGUAAACUUCUUUUCUCAGGGACGAAGAAAGUGACGGUACCUGAGGAAUAAGCCACGGCUAACUACGUGCCAGCAGCCGCGGUAAUACGUAUGGAGCAAGCGUUGUCCGGAAUUACUGGGCGUAAAAGGCGCGUAGGUGGGCGCUUAAGUCAGGUGUGAAAACUCCG